rnacentral:rRNA from 1 species
AUGAACGCUGGCGGCGUGCCUAAUACAUGCAAGUCGCGCGAACAGACGAGGAGCUUGCUCCUCUGACGUUAGCGGCGGCCGGGUGAGUAACACGUGGAUAACCUACCUAUAAGACUGGGAUAACUUCGGGAAACCGGAGCUAAUACCGGAUAAUAUAUUGAACCGCAUGGUUCAAUAGUGAAAGACGGUUUUGCUGUCACUUAUAGAUGGAUCCGCGCCGCAUUAGCUAGUUGGUAAGGUAACGGCUUACCAAGGCAACGAUGCGUAGCCGACCUGAGAGGGUGAUCGGCCACACUGGAACUGAGACACGGUCCAGACUCCUACGGGAGGCAGCAAUAGGGAAUCUUCCGCAAUGGGCGAAAGCCUGACGGAGCAACGCCGCGUGAGUGAUGAAGGUCUUCGGAUCGUAAAACUCUGUUAUUAGGGAAGAACAAAUGUGUAAGUAACUAUGCACGUCUUGACGGUACCUAAUCAGAAAGCCACGGCUAACUACGUG